GGGGCUGACCGGUUUUGACAGCAUAGUUCUUUGUAAGUGUAAGCAUGUAGUGCGUUGGAUAAUUAGCACUUUAAUCUGAAUAUUCAAAACUUCAAAUGGCAAUACUUCGUAUGCCAUGGCUGCUUAGUCGAUAGACUAGUAACCAUUAGGGCCGUUGAACGGGCUGGCCUGUUGCCUUGUUCUUCCGCCGACUCAAAACAAUAACGGGCUGCUGCAAUGGAAUGAUGUGACCAUUGUUUAAGACCAUUCAUCUAAGGAUCUGGUUGGUUUGUGUUGCUCCUGCCUUUUCCCGACAAAUAAUGCAACAAUAAACAUGUAGAAAGCUUACGGCGGAUAUGUUUGGACCAGGGUUCGACUCCCUGCAGCUCCACUG
rnacentral:tmRNA from 1 species